UGAUUCUGGUAUUAGUAUUAAUGAUAAUAGCUGUGGCAAGUAAAGGAGGCCAGACUUUAAAGGAGGCUGUCCAGAGAAUGUCCUUUGCGUUAUUCACUAAUAACCUCUGCUGUAAACUUAACUGGUCUGGUAUUACCAUAAAUGACAAUGAAAGUAACUUUGUAAAACAAAGACUUACACUUGCUUAAAAGAGCUGUAAAAAGAAAUCCUGGAACAACUUCAGCAACUAAAUCAGAUUUUCAAUAUGAGGUUGUGCGUUUUUUGCGUGGUGCAUCAGACCGCAAUGGCAGAAAAAAAGUUAGACAAGACCAAAAAAACAAACAAGCCAAGAAAAUGAUGCCUAUAUCAAGUUUUCCAAUGCCAUUAAAUAAUUUAGUUCAGAAGAUGAAUAACAUUGCUAAAUAAAAUAAGCAUCUUUAUUUACAUAUUUGUUAUCUUUAUUUUACAAUAUUUUAUAUGAUUUUAAACUCAAUAGAGUAAAGUUUUUGUGUAAUGAGUAUUAUUGAUCUGUGUUUUUCAUAUUCAUUCCCUUUUACAGUAACCUUUUGUAUAUGAGAUUGUAGAUGAGAAUUUAAAUCGUCAUAUUGAAUCUUACCAGAGA
rnacentral:lncRNA from 1 species